rnacentral:rRNA from 1 species
UGUGUGAGGUACGGCCACCAAGCUUCGACGGGUAGCCGGCCUGAGAGGGUGACCGGCCACACUGGGACUGAGACACGGCCCAGACUCCUACGGGAGGCAGCAGUGGGGAAUAUUGGACAAUGGGCGAAAGCCUGAUCCAGCAACGCCGCGUGAGGGAUGACGGCCUUCGGGUUGUAAACCUCUUUCAGCAGGGACGAAGUUCGAAGUGACGGUACCUGCAGAAGAAGCACCGGCCAACUACGUGCCAGCAGCCGCGGUAAUACGUAGGGUGCAAGCGUUGUCCGGAAUUAUUGGGCGUAAAGGGCUCGUAGGCGGUCCGUUACGUCGGGAGUGAAAACUCGGGGCUCAACCCCGAGCCUGCUUCCGAUACGGGCGGACUAGAGGUAUGCAGGGGAGAAUGGAAUUCCUGGUGUAGCGGUGAAAUGCGCAGAUAUCAGGAGGAACACCAGUGGCGAAGGCGGUUCUCUGGGCAUUACCUGACGCUGAGGAGCGAAAGUGUGGGGAGCGAACAGGAUUAGAUACCCUGGUAGUCCACACCGUAAACGUUGGGCGCUAGGUGUGGGACUCAUUCCACGAGUUCCGUGCCGCAGCUAACGCAUUAAGCGCCCCGCCUGGGGAGUACGGCCGCAAGGCUAAAACUCAAAGG